AUACGGAGGGUGCAAGCGUUAUUCGGAAUCACUGGGCGUAAAGGACGCGUAGGCGGGUUGGCAAGUCAGAUGUGAAAUCCUACAGCUUAACUGUAGAACUGCAUUUGAAACUGCUAACCUAGAGUAUGGGAGGGGGAGAUGGAAUUAGUGGUGUAGGGGUAAAAUCCGUAGAUAUCACUAGGAAUACCGAAAGCGAAGGCGAUCUCCUGGAACAUAACUGACGCUAAGGCGUGAAAGCGUGGGGAGCAAACAGGAUUAGAUACCCCUGUAGUCC
rnacentral:rRNA from 1 species